UAGAAUGACUUAAUACGAGGUGGAUGGUUCCUUUACAAAAAUUAUAUCACUAAGAUUAGAAUGGAAAAGCACUAUUGAGAAACGCAGAGUGAGCUACGACAAUGACUUAAAUAGUGGGAGAAGAGCAUAGUACAAUCAACUCUCAACCCUCCUAGAACCCAGGUUUAGCACUUUAAAAGGAAGCCUCCACCCUACCAGAUCUUCCUCUGGUUCUUUCCAGACUAUCUCAGGUACCUAUACAGCACAUACCCUAUCCCUCGAUAAUCCUGGGGCCCAGGCCUUUGCACCAUUUCCCCUAUUACUUCGCAGCCAGCCUUCUCUACUCAGAUCAUCAUGUUCACCUCCUUCCCACUGAGCUUUCUGCAGCCAACCCACAGUCCAGAUGGAUGAAGAGGUAAACAGCUUGGUACCUGCCCCCACAUUUGUAGCAUUCACAAGAGCAUUGCCAGACAAUGUAGAUGCCUGACUCCUUUAGCCUUCUGGAGCUGAGAACUCUUGAGUUUGGGCCAUCCAUCAGUCCUAACCUCCCCUGAAGCAGCUGUUACAGGAGACCUGGGCCUGUUUCAAAACCAUAGGAAAGGAGCCAGGGGACAGAGAGAAACUGAAAAUUAGGUAGUACUGGUGUUGGCAACAAAAAGGACCACUUCAUGCUCCAACAGAGGAGCAAAACAGAAAAAAAAAAUGGAAGACAAUGUUAAUGUGACCCAGCAGAGUACAAAUUCUGGCAGACCCUAACAAAUGGGAAUGGCUUCAACUAUGGGUGAUGGAUUGUAUAACUUUUCCCCAGUGGCCACUGUAACUGAACAUGACGGAAUCAUAGAUUUAGAGAUGGAAGAGAACUUCAAGAUAGAAGUCACCAGUGAAGAAGUCCCUUGAAGUCUCAACAGAAUACAAUUUUUAAAAAACCUGUGAAUGAAGAAUUCAGCCAAUACUCUUUUUUUCUUCAUUAUCUAUACUGCACACAUAUAUACCAUAUUUACCCAUUUAUACCAUAAAUCAUAAUGAGUUCCCUUUUCUGCCUGUUUUAUACAUAUUAAGAACCUUGGAUACAUGUUUUUGUCUCCUUUUUAUCCAUUCCCAAAAUGUAGGUGAAAAGGUAAAAACUCUUUCUGCUGAAAUGGGAGAAAAAUGCAUGGUCAGUUAAUUCAGAACAUGGCCCUUGAUCUCCCAGGUUAUUGCUAAAAUGCUUCUCUGUGGCUUCCUUUGGCAGAAUGUUUCGGGAAUUACUUUAGAACAGAUGAAUUUUUUAACUUUUAUUGGACAAGGAAUUACUCCACAUUCUGUACAACAGGGAACACAUUAUUCUGCCCCAGCUACAUAGGGAAAAUAGCAUAUUAAAAAUAAAUAUCACAUAGGAGAGAGAUAUGAUUCUUGAAAGAAGUUUGGCAUACAAGGAUAAACACAAAAGAUAUGCAGGAAAGAUUUAUAGGGUACAGUUUACCUUUGGUCACUGGCUCAAUGCAUAGAGCAGGCAAAAGAUACCAUAUUUGAAGGAAAAGAGACUCAUGGCAUGGCUAUGGAAAGAACACUGAAACUCCUGUAAGAAAGAAAUGGGUUCAGAUUUUUUUCCUCAGAUGUUAAUAGCCAUGUGACCUGGGGUAAUUCAUUUAACUUCACUGGGCCUCCUUUUUUUCAUCUGAAAAAUGAGGAGUUGAAUUUAGGGUCUUCUAAAGCUCGUGCCAUUUCUCCAUCUAUGAUCCUGCAGAGUCAGAGGACCUGGAUUCAAAUCCUCUUUUGGAUGAUUCUUGCUUUGUGAUCUGGAAGGAUGGAAUCUGUUCCAAGUCAAGAAAACAAAAGUAAGGGAACAUUUUCAAGUAGAAUGGGGUCAAGGAACUUUGGUGCAGGAGUUUCUCCGACACUCCCCCUUUAGUCCUCUUACACACAUGCACACACAUAUGCACGUGCAUGCACACAUAAUUAUCAGAUAUUUCAUUGCUUAUUCGCCUAUACAUAAGAUUAACCCCAAUAACAAGCAGAGCACUUAUCUGCACCAGCCUCAGACACCUGCUUUCCCUCCUUUUCCUAACAGAAUGUCCUUUCUUUGUGCAAGUCUCUCCCCAUCAUGAUAUACGUCUCCUCUAGAGAGAUAAGGGGAUCUCAAUUAUUUUUGUGUCAUGGACCUUUCGGGUAUCUGGUGAAGCACAUGGCAUUUUAAUCAUUAAAUAAAAUUCAUGACUUUACAAAGAAAACCAAAGGUUGAUGAAAACAAAGAUGUGAUUCUUUUUUUCAAUCCAAGGUCAUGGAUACCCUGAAAUCCAUCCAAGGAAUCCUUA